UGGGGAAUAUUGCACAAUGGGCGAAAGCCUGAUGCAGCGACGCCGCGUGAGGGAUGACGGCCUUCGGGUUGUAAACCUCUUUCAGUAGGGACGAAGCGCAAGUGACGGUACCUGCAGAAGAAGCACCGGCUAACUACGUGCCAGCAGCCGCGGUAAUACGUAGGGUGCGAGCGUUGUCCGGAAUUACUGGGCGUAAAGAGCUCGUAGGCGGUUUGUCACGUCGUCUGUGAAAUCCUAGGGCUUAACCCUGGACGUGCAGGCGAUACGGGCUGACUUGAGUACUACAGGAGAGACUGGAAUUUCUAGUGUAGCGGUGAAAUGCACGGAUGUCAGGAAGAACGCCGAUGGCGAAGGGAGGUCUCAGGGUAGGAACAGACGCUGGAGAGCGAAAGCAUGAGUAGCGAACAGG
rnacentral:rRNA from 1 species